rnacentral:rRNA from 1 species
AGUUCGAUCCUGGCUCAGGAUGAACGCUGGCGGCGUGCCUAAUACAUGCAAGUCGAACGAAACUUCUUUAUCACCGAGUGCUUGCACUCACCGAUAAAGAGUUGAGUGGCGAACGGGUGAGUAACACGUGGGCAACCUGCCCAAAAGAGGGGGAUAACACUUGGAAACAGGUGCUAAUACCGCAUAACCAUAGUUACCGCAUGGUAACUAUGUAAAAGGUGGCUAUGCUACCGCUUUUGGAUAGGCCCGCGGCGCAUUAGCUAGUUGGUGGGGUAAAGGCUUACCAAGGCAAUGAUGCGUAGCCGAACUGAGAGGUUGAUCGGCCACAUUGGGACUGAGACACGGCCCAAACUCCUACGGGAGGCAGCAGUAGGGAAUCUUCCACAAUGGGCGAAAGCCUGAUGGAGCAACGCCGCGUGGGUGAAGAAGGUCUUCGGAUCGUAAAACCCUGUUGUUAGAGAAGAAAGUGCGUGAGAGUAACUGUUCACGUUUCGACGGUAUCUAACCAGAAAGCCACGGCUAACUACGUGCCAGCAGCCGCGGUAAUACGUAGGUGGCAAGCGUUAUCCGGAUUUAUUGGGCGUAAAGGGAACGCAGGCGGUCUUUUAAGUCUGAUGUGAAAGCCUUCGGCUUAACCGGAGUAGUGCAUUGGAAACUGGGAGACUUGAGUGCAGAAGAGGAGAGUGGAACUCCAUGUGUAGCGGUGAAAUGCGUAGAUAUAUGGAAGAACACCAGUGGCGAAAGCGGCUCUCUGGUCUGUAACUGACGCUGAGGUUCGAAAGCGUGGGUAGCAAACAGGAUUAGAUACCCUGGUAGUCCACGCCGUAAACGAUGAAUGCUAAGUGUUGGAGGGUUUCCGCCCUUCAGUGCUGCAGCUAACGCAAUAAGCAUUCCGCCUGGGGAGUACGACCGCAAGGUUGAAACUCAAAGGAAUUGACGGGGGCCCGCACAAGCGGUGGAGCAUGUGGUUUAAUUCGAAGCAACGCGAAGAACCUUACCAGGUCUUGACAUCUUUUGACAAUCCUAGAGAUAGGACUUUCCCUUCGGGGACAAAAUGACAGGUGGUGCAUGGUUGUCGUCAGCUCGUGUCGUGAGAUGUUGGGUUAAGUCCCGCAACGAGCGCAACCCUUAUUGUUAGUUGCCAGCAUUAAGUUGGGCACUCUAGCAAGACUGCCGGUGACAAACCGGAGGAAGGUGGGGAUGACGUCAAAUCAUCAUGCCCCUUAUGACCUGGGCUACACACGUGCUACAAUGGACGGUACAACGAGUCGCAAGACCGCGAGGUUUAGCAAAUCUCUUAAAGCCGUUCUCAGUUCGGAUUGUAGGCUGCAACUCGCCUACAUGAAGUCGGAAUCGCUAGUAAUCGCGGAUCAGCAUGCCGCGGUGAAUACGUUCCCGGGCCUUGUACACACCGCCCGUCACACCAUGAGAGUUUGUAACACCCAAAGCCGGUGGGGUAACCUUUUGGAGCCAGCCGUCUAAGGUGGGAUAGAUGAUUAGGGUGAAGUCGUAAAAAGGUAGCC